UAAGUGGAGAGUUUGAUCCUGGCUCAGAGCGAACGUUAGCGGCGGGCCUAACACAUGCAAGUCGAACGAGAAAGCCCUUCGGGGUGAGUAAAGUGGCGAACGGGUGAGUAACGCGUAGGUAAUCUGCCCUUCGGUGGGGGAUAACAUCCCGAAAGGGGUGCUAAUACCGCAUAAGACCACGGUCUCUUCGGAGGCUGAGGGAAAAGGUGGCGAUCCGCAAGGAGCUAUCGCCGGAGGAUGAGCCUGCGUCCCAUCAGCUAGUUGGUAGGGUAAUGGCCUACCAAGGCGAAGACGGGUAGCUGGUCUGAGAGGAUGAUCAGCCACACUGGCACUGAAACACGGGCCAGACUCCUACGGGAGGCAGCAGUGAGGAAUAUUGGGCAAUGGGCGCAAGCCUGACCCAGCCACGCCGCGUGAGUGAUGAAGGCCUUCGGGUUGUAAAGCUCUGUGGGGAGGGAAGAA
rnacentral:rRNA from 1 species